ensembl:ncRNA Su(Ste):CR42417 Su(Ste):CR42417
CUCCUGUCAACCCUUUUAGCACUUGUCAAAAAAUCAAAGAAAAAGACGAUGAAUUUGAAGUCUACAAGUCAUAUUUCUGUGAACGAGUGAACUGGCAACAUGUCGAGCCCGUAAGUAACUAGGUUUUUCCUAUAGAAAUUAUAGCAAGUCACAGUAAAAUCUUGAACCCAGAACAACAACAACAACAACAACAGCAGCUGGAUCAAUUGGUUCCUCGGAAUCAAGGGCAACGAGUUCCUCUGCCACGUGUCCUCCGAAUAUAGUCCUGGUUGUUUUCUAAACAAAGCGCUUGAACUUGCAGUCCCUAUGCUUUCGGUUGCACCAGAAUGCCUUGAUGCCACUUAAAUCGCCCAAGUCCGCACCAAAGAAAAUCGGAUCCUCGGCCAGCUAGUCCUCCUCCUCGCCCCGGCAUUCCGAAGUCAAGCGCUUCAAUGUUCUUCUAGGGAUGACGUGAUUUUUUAACUCCACACAAAAGAAAGCAGAAAUGUUUGUCCGAUAUAUUGUUGUUGCAAUUAAACAGAUUCCGCAGUGCAUUGAUAUGGCCAGCUACCACCUACUAAUACACCUCAUACACCUCUGCCCUAAAUACUUGGUUCAGUGUUCGGUCCAAGCUGGUCAUAUCAGCACUCAUUCGAGUAGCAAAGCAAUUAACAUUCGUUAAUAGUGGUAAUCACCUGGGUAUAAUAAUAAUAUUAAUCAAUAAAACAUUCAAUUCAGUUUUUUAUUUACUUUUAUGUUAAAAGAGUUUCCAAAAGUGUUUUCCUGGCUACAGCAAAUAUAUUUUGAUAAUUUAAUUUCAAAUUUAACAUUAUUCCUUAAAUAUACAAAUUCUGGUUUAAUGUAUUAUAGGAGUGAGUAGAUGGUUAAAACAUUAUUUUUAAUUUAAAAUAUAAUUAAAAUUUUGAUUCAAUCAUUUUUAUGUAAUUCUUUUUGUAGAGUAUUCAAUACUGGCAACUUCGUAUUUUAGUUCGAUUUCC